rnacentral:lncRNA from 12 species
UUUAGAUUGAAGUUUAAUAUGGACCAACAAAUAUAUAACACGGCUGCCCAUGAAAUCUAAUCGCUGUGGUUGCAGCAAUAGACGUAUUAUCUGCAACCGCAGGGAGGAACCGGCAAAUAGAACGACACUUCAUCAGCAGCAACUGCUGCAGAUCCUGGCGCUCAUCAGUGGAUGGAAUUCUCAUGGUUUCCAGUUUUCUUCCAUCAUGAAAACAGUUAUGACUCCUUGGGUUUUUUUUCUCUUGGCAUGGGAGGUGAGACACUAUGAAGAGGAAUACCUCUUACAUGGUGGCAGGCAAACAUGGCCGUGGGUCAAGACAUCCUGUGUCAUGGGGAAGCCUCAUCUGUCAUUCCCACCACUGACUGGGACCAUACGACCCUUCCGUUCUUCACCCAGAGCAUCAGCAGUGACUUCUGUGGUCAUAAGCUUCUCAUAAAUUUGCAUUUGUUGUCCCCUUCUAUGAGUUCCUGGCAGCCAGUAGCUGGGAAAGAGAUAUUCAGCUUCACCCUAAAGCAGCCCACCAUGCCCACUACUUCUGAGGUGCCAUGAAAAAGAGCUAUGUUGAGUGAACUUUGUUAGUUUGUAACUUUCUUUUUUUUUAAUAAAUUAAUUUUUUAUUGGUGUUCA